rnacentral:lncRNA from 1 species
UUUAUGAUGAUGAUAUGUUGAAUUUACGUGUUUACUUAUAAAUGUGUUAUGUGACGAUGUGAUAUCGUUGUAAUGUUGUUGUUGUUUUGUUGAGUUGAAUGUCAUGCUAUUAAUGAUGAUGAUAACAUGACUAUAUGAUGUUGUUGUUGCUAUGUUGAUUAUGAUGCAUGUUUGGUGUGCAUGCAUUCAUGAAAGGCCGAUGCCUAGUGAUGAACGGAC